ACAAUUAAGUAAUAUUUUCUGAGUUUGAACAGGCGAAUUUUAUGUUAUAGUUGAUUUCAAUAGUUAUUUUGUUGGAAAUAAGUUUUAAUUGCUGUUAAUGUAUGGUUCGAUGUUGGUGCGGUUUUUUAAUUCAGUUUUGUUGUAAUAGGUAUAAGGCAAGUGACAUAUUAAUGUAUAGUUUGAUGCUGGUAUGACCUUUUAAUCCAGUUUCGUGGUAAUCUUUAUAGGUCGAAUUACGUAUUAAUGUAUAGUUUGAUGUUAGUGUGAUCUUUUAAUCCAGUUUUGUUGUAAAUUUUAUAGGGCAAAUGAUAUAUUAAUGUAUAGUUUGAUGUUGGUGUGAUCUUUUAACCCAGUUUUGUUGUGAUUUUUUUUGGGCAAAUGACAUAUGCAAGGAAUCGAAGAGGCAAACAAUUAACGCUGAAGAUGUAUUCAAGGCGCUUGAACAGAUGGCUAAAGAUGAAGACUUUAAGCUUCUCAAGAUCCAAAUAUGUGUUGGAUGUGAACGUGGAGAGUGGGGAGGAUGUGAUCACGCAUAAAAGAGUUUUGCGGAUGGUUGAAGAUCCUGUUAAUAGACCUACAUUUGAAGUCAUAUUAGUGUAGCCAAAGAGGCUGAUAGGGGAAUACAUGCCUUUACAUAAUCAGCAUACAUUGCUAAGGGGAGUGUGUCCCAUCCAGGUCAAUCAUGCUGAUGGGGAGCGUGAAAGGUUAGGUAAUUUGACAUCUUUAAGAUGCGCAGAUGAUCUCACCGCAGUUGGGGUUUUUGUAGAUUGGUACCAGGUCCCUCAUUCGCUAUGCUCGUGAUGGUUACAAUGUUUGCAUCUUUGCAUAUGGUUCAACUGAAUUUAAUAAAAACGCAUACAAUAGUAUUUUGGAGAGGUUUUGAUCGUUCCUGCACAUGAUAUCUCCGUCUCCGACGACGUCGAACAGCUCCGUAAAGCCUUCACAGGUAUCUCUCUUCAUGUCGGUUACUUCAUCUUAGUUACUGUAAUCUAUGGCGUUUAAUCAAGUCUGAUUCAGUCUUCUAUCAAGUAUUAUUAUGAUGAAUCUGAUCUUGAAAACGCAAUCAUUACUGUGAUCCGAUCAUGUGGAUUGAAAUAGUGAAAUCCAAUUGUUUAGUUUGAUGAUUGUUAUUAUUCAUUAUAUAUGAUAAUUUGUGUGUUUCGGUGGUUUCAAUAACGUUUGAUGCUUUAGAAAGAAAAUAAUUUACAAGAAUUUAUGUAUUUUGGAGAGGUUUUGAUCGUUCCGGCACAUGAUAUCUCUGUCUCCGACGACGUCGAACAGCUCCGUAAAGCCUUCUCAGGUUUUGGUCGUUCCUGCACAUGAUAUCUCCGUCUCGGAUGACGUCGAACAACUCCGUAAAGCCUUCUCAGGUACACUGGCUGUGUCUUCUGGAUCUGAUAUGUUUGGAUUAGAGCAACAGUCAAGAACGCAACAAACUGAUAGAAUGGGGAAAGAGUCAUCUACAUCUGAGCAGGGAGCAUUAUUUGAACACCGACGAGUUCAUUGACGAUGUUGCUGAUGAGCUCAAAGCAAGACUCCCCAACAAAUAAUCAUGGUAUGUAUGAUUGAUUAUUAUUUGUUGGUUAAUUAAUUAUUAAAUUAGUAGUGUCUUCAAGUCUUUACCUAACUUCUUCCUUCCGAAAGAGUUACUUUUAGUUUUUUUAUACAAAAAGAUGGUAAUUUUGACCUAUUUACUUGCAAACGAGUUGAUUCAGCUGUAUUUGUAUCUAAAACGGGUCAAAUAAAACAAUGUAUGUAAAAUUGGGGUGGCCCAAAUGGACUGAACUGGUAUGGAUAUGUAAACUGAUAAUAACCGGUUUCACCUUUAUUGACUACUUGAAAUGCAAAUGAUUGCUUAUUGGUUACAUGGUGGUCUAGACUUGAGAGUCGGUUUCAAAGAUUCUAAAGAGGUAUUGUUCCUUAUAAGUUUCACUUUGUGGGCUUACCUCCUUUUAUACUUAUACCUUGGAAAUAGACCAUAUAAUUAGAUGUAACAAAUUUUGACCCAUUUAUAUUGGGUUGUUUUAUAUCUAGAUGGUUCAAAAAUAUAAAGCUAUAAAAUUUUAUCUUAAAUGAGUCAAAAUAAGAGCUUGAAGUUACCCAAAGUGAAAUGGGUUCAAUGAUUAGUAUUUUUUUUUGAAUAUUUUUAGCUGGUCUUUUAUUUUCUGUACUUGUAACUGGCAUUUUGGCGAAUGCUAUAAAAGAUGCUACUAGACGACCAAGAUCGGGUAUCUUUUAGGGCAUGAUUUUGUUUAUUACUCGGUCGAUGCUUCUUGAGUGGUGUUAAAAUGUGGGUAGGGAUGAGCAUGGUACCCGUUCGGUACCGGUACUGAAAAACAGGAAAAGUGGGUACCGGUACCGAAUAUACCGGUUCAGUACAGUACGGUACCGAAACACGGAGAAAGUGGGUACCGGUAUCAGUACCGAAUAUACCCGGUACGGUUCGGUACCGGUUCGAAAUGCUCAUCCCUAUAUGUGGGUAUGUGCUUCUUUGGCUCAAUUGCUAAACAAUACAGACAACUGUAAGGAAUAGCAACUUGAAUCCAGUUUGGAAUGAAGAGCUUAUGCUUUCUGUUCCUCAGAAUUACAAGCCUGUUAAAGUGAUGACAACAGCCAUAGCCAUUGGAGAUGUUACACAGGAGGUUAAGAUAUUGCUCUGGUAUAAUUGUAUUUUCGCUUAACGGGUCGUGCCUUGACCAGAUUUGUCGUGUUGAAGACAUAGAGCAAUGAGUGUCAUCGUCAGCACAGAAGGUAUAAUAACUGCUUCCGAGUUAGGUAUUUUUCUUUAAAUUUUUAAGCAAGAUCUACUUUAUCCAAACUGCAUGUAUAUUGACAUAUAAAUACUUGAGAUCAUUUCUGCAGGUUGUCGAGAUGUUCUAUAUAGUUUAUAAAAUUGUGUUGUUACUCACUUACUUUUUACAUUUGUAGCAUGAAAACAUUCUUCAAUAUGUCAAAAGUCAAGCUCCUAUCACAACCGCUAACAAUGAUGAUGCGAAUACCAGUUGUGAUAAUAAAAUAAACAAGCGUAAACUGGUUGACGUCUAUAAUUCUCCAACUUCUAUUAACGUCAAGGAUUCGGAGAAAGUUAGCAAGAAAGAGGUUGAGCUUCGUAUAUCUACGGAUUUAAAAUUAGUUUUUAUGUUUCUUACGUCUUAAACGUUGUUUUUUUAUUACAAGAUUUAUGAAAAUACCGUUAAAUAAUAUUUUUUUAAACCACCCGUGUA